rnacentral:rRNA from 1 species
UACGUAGGGGGCUAGCGUUGUCCGGAAUCAUUGGGCGUAAAGAGCGCGUAGGCGGCCAGAUAAGUCCGGUGUGAAAGUCACAGGCUCAACCUGUGAAUGCCGCUGGAAACUGUCUGGCUAGAGUCCGGAAGGGGCGAGUGGAAUUCCUGGUGUAGCGGUGAAAUGCGCAGAUAUCAGGAGGAACACCAAUGGCGAAGGCAGCUCGCUGGGCCGAUACUGACGCUGAGGAGCGAAAGCAUGGGGAGCGAACAGG